UACGUAGGGACCAAGCGUUGUUCGGAUUUACUGGGCGUAAAGGGCUUGUAGGCGGCCAACUAAGUCCGACGUGAAAUCCCCAGGCUUAACCUGGGAACUGCGUCGGAUACUGGAUGGCUUGAAUUCGGGAGAGGGAUGCGGAAUUCCAGGUGUAGCGGUGAAAUGCGUAGAUAUCUGGAGGAACACCGGUGGCGAAGGCGGCAUCCUGGACCGAGAUUGACGCUGAGGCGCGAAAGCCAGGGGAGCAAACGGG
rnacentral:rRNA from 1 species